AAUUAAAAUCCUUUUCCAGAUUAAGUUUAUUUAUAAUUUUCGUAUGGUUCCAUUAUUCGGGAUGAAUUAAUGUUCAAGCUCUGUCGAAUAAUUCUGCGUUUGGAGCGGCUGUCGCGCAUAAUACACGCGUUUAGUCGAUUGCCUGCAAAACGCUGCGUUUCGAUUUAUCAUUCUUCCUCAACCUAAACAACGCCGAAGAAGACGACUGUAUUUUGAUUUUCGUCUUCGGUUGGGAAUAUUGGGAUUGAUGUUAUCGUUCUGGCGCAGUGUAGCAUUCUUCUGAUCACGGUCGUGAGCCCCUCCUACACAGACUUCAAGUUUCAAUAGCCCACAUUCAAAAUUUAGUAGGUAUGGAUACGAUACCUUUACACUUUCAUAUAUUUGAGCAAUGAGUAUAGAAAAAAAGUACAUGAAAAUGGCACAAACCUGUCAUGUUUAUCAGGCUUUCUUAGUUCUUAAAUUGUGGUGAUGAUACCUUUUCUAUAGCCAUUGCACUAAUCCCCAUUUCAAA